rnacentral:misc_RNA from 1 species
UUAUCCAUUAAAGAUAAUAAACAUCAAUCAAAUUAUCUAUAUCCCUUGAUAUAGUACAUCCCGAAAAUCUAAAUAAGUGCUUAAGAGGAUCAAAUCCCCUAGAUUUGGAGGAAUUAUUAGGUGCACAUAUAGCUUCAUGUGCUAUUUCUAAUAAUUAGCUUUCGGUGGUAGGGUUCCCCUAGUUUUGGCAGCAGCCGUGGAGCAUCAAGCAUGAUUCUGUUACUUUCCAUUCCGUUUCAAAUUUCUUUAAUUGUCCUUUCGCUCCAAAUAAGCUAGUAUUUACUAA